UACGAAGGGGGCUAGCGUUGCUCGGAAUCACUGGGCGUAAAGCGCACGUAGGCGGAUUGCUAAGUCAGGGGUGAAAUCCUGGAGCUCAACUCCGGAACUGCCUUUAAGACUGCAUCGCUUGAAUCCAGGAGAGGUGAGUGGAAUUCCGAGUGUAGAGGUGAAAUUCGUAGAUAUUCGGAAGAACACCAGUGGCGAAGGCGGCUCACUGGACUGGUAUUGACGCUGAGGUGCGAAAGCGUGGGGAGCAAACAGG
rnacentral:rRNA from 1 species